CGUGUGGCACCAGUGAGCCUGUACAUGCAGUAGCUGAUUCCACAAACACAGCGCAGCUCCAAGACACUGUAGAUUGUGCAGAUGAAGAACCACUCAUAAUGCCUGCAGCAAGUGAGACUGCUGCUCCCUCUGAAGAUAAAAAUGCUGCUCAAUCCCACAAUUCCCGAAGAGCUCCCAAAAACAUGUGGUCCAAGGCUGAGGUUGCUGCAGUGAUGAGGCAUUUUAAAGACCACAUAAACGAAGGGAAACUGGCCACCAAAAAUGAAUGCAGUCAUUGCAAAUUGGUAGAAGAUCCGGUGUUGGCAGGAAGAACAGUUCAAAACAUAAGAGAUUUUGUAAGAAA